AUGGUCACAAUAAUCACAUUGCCAGAGAGAGUCAGCAGGUACAAAGUUAGAAAGACAACAAAGAAGACAAGUCUGUGCUGUCACAUGAAGCUGGAGAAACCUUCAAAGAAGAGCUCAGUCACAGCAGUGGACUUUGACCUUGGCACUGAAGAAUGUCUAAAUCUGAAGGAAAUGGACAAAGGAAAGACAGAGACUUCAGAGUCUCCUCUUAUCAGGCUACUUGCAUAUUGGAGCUCUUGCGACUCUCACCAGGGUAUUUCCCCAGCUAUUCUCGGAAUCUUCUGGAGUAGUGUGAAUGAGGAAUUCACCUGCGCUGCAUGAAGCUGACCAAGGAGUUGCACGAGGAUUCUUUUCUUUUGACUGCUCCCGGAUUAAACCCAUCUCCAUUUUGUUUUUAACUUUUUUAGGCCUGUAUACUUGGGAAUAGCUUAUUGUGGCAUCAAAUUCCCCUUUCUUUUUAAUUAGUAAGUCAGAAUAUUGUGCUUUAAGUAUACUCCAUACUCUCUUAUUCUAAUACAUUAUUUUGCAAUUUCUCACCGAGACUUACCUGCCUCUUCCUACCAGCUGCAAAGAGAUUUUGGUCAUUCAUUUCCAUUGAUUUUAUAUCUUCACAAACUUUGAGGAGUCUACCUGUACAUUUUCAUAAAGAUAAAUAACCACUUAACUUUACAUGUAUUAUCUAUCUCUAAUCUAUCCAUAACGAUAAAGUCUCUCCAUUAUUUUAAUGGCUCAAAUGUUGGAGACAGCUUUUCCAAUUUUUAAAAAACUAUAUUACUUGUUUUUAUUAACCUUUCUUAAAUGUAUGUAUAGCUCAUACUUAUUCAGUGAGUUUUUUAGGUUUUUAAAUUGACACAUAAUAUUUUACAUAUUUAUGGGGUACAUGUGAGUAUUUGUUACAUGCAGAGAAAGUAUAAUGAUCAAAUCAGGGUGUUUAGGGUAUCCAUCACCUUGAGUAUUUAUCAUUUCUAUGUGUUGGAAACAUUUCAAGUCCUCUCUUCCAGCUACUUUGACAUUUACAAUACGUUGUUACUAGCUGCAGUCACCCUAACUUGCUGUGGACCAUGAGAAUUUAUAACUUCUAACUGUAUGUUUGUACCCAUUGACCAACCUCUCUUCAUCACCCCCCUCCUACCCACACACCCUUCCUAGGCUUUAGUAUCUACCAUUCUGUUCUCUACCUCGAUGAGAUCAACUUUUUAUAGCUCCCACAUAUGAAUGAGAACAUGUAAAAUUUUCCUUUUUGUGUCCAGCUUACUUCACUUAAUGACAUCCACUUCCAUCCAUGUUGCUUUAAAUGAUGAGAUUUCAUUCUUUUUAUGGUAGAACAGUAUUCCAUUGCAUUUAUAUACCACAUUUACUUUGUGUAUUUGUCAGUUGACGGACACUUAGGUGAAUUCCACAUCUUAGCUAUUUUAAAGAGUGUUGCAAUAAACAUGAAAGUGUAGAAUCCUCAAUAUAUUGAUUUCCUUUCUUUUCAACAUACACCCAACAGCAGAAUUGCUGGAUCAUAUGGCAGCUCUAUUUUUAGCUUUUGAGAAAUGUCAUACUGUUUUCUAUAGCAACUGUACUAAUUGACAUUCCCACCAAUAUUGUAUGAGUUCCCUUUUCUUUGCAUCUUCUGUUAUUUAUUAUUUUUAUUAAUAGCCAUUCUAAUUAGAGUAAGAGGGUAUAUCUCAUUGUGGUUUUGAUUUGAAUUUCCCUGAUGAUUAGUGAUAUUAAGCAUUUUUUCAUAUAUGGUUGGUCAUUUGUAUAUCUUCUUUUGAAAAAUGUCUAUUCUUGUCCUUUGCUCACUUUUUAAUUCGAUUUUUAUUUUUACCAUUGAGGUGAGUUCUUUGUAUAUUCUGGAUAUUAGUCCCUUGCGGGAUGAAUAGUGUGCAAAUAUAUACUCCCAUUCAAUGUGUUGUUUCUUAACUCUUGUUUCCUUUGCUGUGAAGAAGCUAUUUAGUUUAAUAGAGUUCAAUUUAUCUGUUUGUUUCUAUCUAUGCUUUUGAGAUCUUCACCAUACACAAAUCUUAGCCUACACCAAUAUUCCGGAGUGUUUUCCCUACAUUUUCUUCGGUUAUUUCAUAGUUUUGGGUCUUACAUUCAAGUCCUUGAUCCAUCUUGAGUUGAUUUUUUAUAUGGUGAGAGAUAGAAGCCCACUUUUAUUCUUCUGCAUGUGGACAUCCAAUUUUCCCAGUACCACUUAUUGAAGAAGGUAUCCUUUUCCCAGUGUAUGUUCUUAGUGCCUGUGUCUAAAAUCACUUGACUGUGAAUAAGUGAAUGUAUUUCUGAAUUAUCUAUUCUGUUUCACUGGUCUGUGUGCCUGUUUUUAUACUAAUACCAUACUAUUUUGGUUAUGAUAGCCUUGUAACACAUUUUGAAGUCAGGUCAGAUGAUGCCUCGAGCUUUGUUGUUUUUGCUCAAGAUUGCUUUGGCUACUCAAGCUCUUUUUUGGUUCUAUACAAAUUUUUGGAUUGCUUUUUCUAAUUCUAUGAAAAAUGACAUUGAUAUUUGAAUGGAGAUUGCAUUGAAUCUAUAGAUCACUUUGGGCAAUAUGGUAAUUUUAAUGAUAUGAAUAUGGUAAUUAAUUUUUAAUGACUAAUAUCCAAUUUCAGUGAUAUUAUGUUAAUGAUAUUAAUUAUUUUAAGAAUGUGAAAAUAUUAGUAUGAUUAUUUAAUGAUAAUUGUUUAAUUUAUGAACAUGAAACAUCUUUUCAUUUUCAUUUGUUGUGUACUCUUAAAUUUCUUUCAUCAAUGUUUUACAGUUUUUCUUGCACAGUUCUUUCACCUCCUUGGUUAAAUUUAUUCCUAGGUUUGUUUUUUUUUCAGUUACUGUAAAUGGGAUGGCCUCCUUUAUUUCUUUAUUCACUAGGUCAUUAUUCACGUAUAAAAAUGCCAUUGAUUUUUGUGUGUUGAUUUUGUAUCUUACAACUUCACUAAAUUUAUUUAUAGAUUUAAGAGGUUUUUUUGGCAGAGUCUUUGGUUUUUUCUAGAUGUAAGAUUAUAUCAUCAGCAAAGAGGGACAAUUUGACUUAUUCUUAUCCAGUUUGAAUACCUUAAAUUUCUCUUGUUUGAUUGCUCUGGCUAGGAUUUCUAGUACUACAUCAAAUAAGAAUGGUGAAAGGGAGAAUCCUUGUCUUGUUCCAAUUCUUAGAGUAAAGGCUUUCAGGUUUUCCCCAUUCAGUACAAUGUUAGCUGUGGGUUUGUCAUAAGUGGCCUGUAUUAUGUUCAGGUAUGAUCUUUCUUUGCCUACUUUCUUGAGACUUUUUAUCAUGGGGGAAUAUUGCAAAAUGAUUUUUCUUCAUCUAUUGAGAUGAUCAUAUGGUUUUUGUCCAUUAUGUUGAUGUGAUGUAUCAUGUUUAUUGAUUUGCAUAUGUUGAACAAUUCUUGCAUCCCUGGUAAAAAUCCCACUUAAUCCUGGCACAUUAUUAUUAUUAUUAUUAUUAUUAUUAUUAUUAUUAUUUUGAUGUGCUGUUGGUUUUGGUUUGCUAGUAUUUUGUUGAGAAUUUUUGUAUCUGUGUUCAUCAGAAGCAUUUUACUGUAGUUUUCUUUUUUGUUGCAUUCUUGUCUGGUUUUAGCAUUAGGGUAAUGCUGCCUCAUACAAUGAGUUAGGGAAAAUUUUCUCCUUUAGAUUUUUUGAAAUAAUUUGAGGAAAAUUGAUGUUAGCUCUUUUUUGAAAGUUUGGUGGUACUUUUCAAUGAAGCCAUCCAGGUCUGUGAUUUUCUUUGCUGGGAGGCCUGUUAUUACUGAUUCAAUCUCAUUUCUCAUUAUUGGUAUGUUCAAGUUUUUUAUUUCUUCCUCAUUCAGUCUUGAUAGGUGAUAUCAGUCUAGAAAUUUAUUCAUUUCCUUUAGAUUUACUAUUUUGUUAGUGUGUAUUGCUCAUAAUAGUCUCCGAUAAUCUUUUCUAAUUCUGUGGUAUCAGUUGUAAUGUCUCCUUUUUCAUUUCUGAUUUUACUUUUGUGAGUCUUCUCUCUUUUGCUUUUGAUUAUUCCCCCUAGCAGUUUAUUGAUUGUGUUUAUCUAUUAAAAAACAUUUCCUUUCAUUGUUUUAUUGUUUUUUAAAUCUAUUUCAUUUAGUUCUGCUUUCAUCUCUAUUAUUUCUUCUACUAAUUUUCAAUUUGUUUUGUUCUUGCUUUUCUAGUUCAUUGAGGUAAAUCAUUAGAUUGUUUAUUUAAAAUAUUUCUACUUUUUUCUAUAUGUGUUUAUUUCUAUAAAAUUCCCUCUGAGCACUCCUUUUGCUGUCUCCCACAAGUCUUGGUAUGUUGUGUUUCCAUUUUAUUUGUUUCAAUAAAUUUGAUUUCCUCCAUAAUUCCUUUCUUGAUCAAAUGGCCUUUGAGGAGUGAUAUGGUUUGACUCUGACCACACGCAAAUCUCAUCUUAAAUUGUAGCUCCCAUAAUUCCCACAUGUCAUGGGAGAAACAUGGUGAUAGGUAACUGAAUCAUGGGGGCAGAUCUUUCCCACACUGUCCUCAUAAUAGUGAAUAAGUCUCAUAAGAUCUGAUGUUUUUAUAAGUGGGAGUUGUACUGCACAAGUUUUCUCUCUUGUCUGCUGUCAUGUAAGACAUGCCUUUCACUUUCUGCCAUGAUUGUGAGGCCUCCUCAGCCACGUGGAAUUGUGAGUCCAUUAAACUUCUUUUUCGAAGAUGACCAAAUAGGAACAGCUCCAGUCUCCAACUCCCAGCGCCAGCGACACAGAAGACAGGUGAUUUCUGCAUUUUCAACUGAGGUACUGGGUUUAUUUCCCCACUAGGAGUGCCUGGAGAUCAGUGCUGGUCAGCUGCUGCAGCCUGACCAGCGAGG
ensembl:lncRNA